UUGAACGCUGGCGGCAGGCCUAACACAUGCAAGUCGAGCGGAUGAAGGGAGCUUGCUCCUGGAUUCAGCGGCGGACGGGUGAGUAAUGCCUAGGAAUCUGCCUGGUAGUGGGGGAUAACGUCCGGAAACGGGCGCUAAUACCGCAUACGUCCUGAGGGAGAAAGUGGGGGAUCUUCGGACCUCACGCUAUCAGAUGAGCCUAGGUCGGAUUAGCUAGUUGGUGGGGUAAAGGCCUACCAAGGCGACGAUCCGUAACUGGUCUGAGAGGAUGAUCAGUCACACUGGAACUGAGACGGUCCAGACUCCUACGGGAGGCAGCAGUGGGGAAUAUUGGACAAUGGGCGAAAGCCUGAUCCAGCCAUGCCGCGUGUGUGAAGAAGGUCUUCGGAUUGUAAAGCACUUUAAGUUGGGAGGAAGGGCAGUAAGUUAAUACCUUGCUGUUUUGACGUUACCAACAGAAUAAGCACCGGCUAACUUCGUG
rnacentral:rRNA from 1 species